GGAGGGGGACGGAKUGGCCAAAGGGAGCAGACUGUAAAUCUGCCGGCUCCGCCUUCGAUGGUUCGAAUCCGUCCCCCUCCACCA
rnacentral:tRNA from 1 species